GAAAAUCCGUCGAUUUUAAAAAUCGUGAGGGUUCAAGUCCCUCUAUCCCCAAAAGAGCUCA
rnacentral:tRNA from 1 species